rnacentral:rRNA from 1 species
GACGAACGCUGGCGGCGUGCUUAACACAUGCAAGUCGAGCGGUAAGGCCCUUUCGGGGGUACGACGAGCGGCGAACGGGUGAGUAACACGUGGGUGACCUGCCCUCAGCUCUGGGAUAAGCCUGGGAAACUGGGUCUAAUACCGGAUAUGACUCCAUGACGCAUGUUGUGGGGUGGAAAGCCUUGUGCGGCUGAGGAUGGGCCCGCGGCCUAUCAGCUUGUUGGUGGGGUGAUGGCCUACCAAGGCGACGACGGGUAGCCGGCCUGAGAGGGCGACCGGCCACACUGGGACUGAGACACGGCCCAGACUCCUACGGGAGGCAGCAGUGGGGAAUCUUGCGCAAUGGGCGAAAGCCUGACGCAGCGACGCCGCGUGAGGGCUGACGGCC